ACUUAUUUGCCGCUGGGUAAACAUCUUAUAUUCGUUUCGUUAGGCCUUAGAAGAAACGUUUGUGAGGUGUUAUUUUUU
rnacentral:ncRNA from 1 species